AAGACCCACCAACAGUCCAGGAUUUAGGGAUUGCCCUAUUGUGACUAAGGUUUUUUUUGAGAUAGAAAAAAAAAUACUUUAGAGUCUAAAAUGGUUUUUUUUUUCUUUUUUAAAAACAGCUUAGACACAACAGGACAAUCCCUAAAUCCUGGACUGUUGGUGGGUCUUGAGGACU